GGUGAUAUAGCCAAGCGGUAAGGCGCUGGUCUGCAAAACCUUGAUCGCCGGUUCGAAUCCGGCUAUCACCU
rnacentral:tRNA from 1 species